UAGCUCAGCUGGCUAGAGCACCUGCUUUGCAAGCAGGGGGUCAACGGUUCGAAUCCGUU
rnacentral:tRNA from 1 species